GCGGCAGGAGGCUACGGGGGCCGUGUCCACACUGAAUAGGGGGCCGAGCAAAUGCGCUGCAGGUGCCGCGGGGUCUCCAGUCUCAUAACCGCCGAGGCGCCAGAACGCCGGCCCAGAGGACGGAGGACGGCCCGGGGCCCCGCCGGCUAGGGAGGCUCUGCUGGGACCAAGCAACUCGACUGAGGCCAGAAGGAAGGGGCUUCAGGAACCGGACUUUCACCAGGAAGAAACCCUCCUCUCCAGCCCGCCAUCAAUCAGAGCGUCAGAAGAGGCGGCAGAAACCCAGAAAAGGAGCCUGUCGCUUCGAGGGGCCAAGGCUUGAACGAUUUCACCAUGUUCAGAAGCUAUACGCCUUCCCAGGUUUCCACCCUCUUCUGAGAACAGGCAAUGAACAAGCCCCAGGAUGUCACUGUGAGCUUCAUCCGGGAUGAGUGGCUACAGCUGACCCGUGUGCGGAGGACCCUGCACCGGGGACGUGAUGUUGGAGAACGACGACCACCUGGUCUCCGCAGGGCAUUGCAUCACCAAACCAGAGGCGAUCUGCAAGCUGGAGCAAGAAGAGGGCUCGUGGCCAUUGGAGGGAGGAUUCCCGGGUUGGAGUGGUCCAGCCCAGUCCAUGGAGAGGGCCUCGGAGCAGUGGCGCCCCCGCAAGGAUGAGCAGACUCAGUCCCCAUCGCUGCCCACUACAAGGUCCCGAAGUGUCCAAGGUGAGCCUGGAACCUCUUGUGUCAAAAAUCAGGCAAGCACUCAGAGAUUAAUGGGAUGUGCCAGAGGCCACAGCAGCUGGCUAACGGGCUCCCGCUGGCCAGGUGUGAGGGAACCUGAUGGUCGAACAGAAGGGCUGUAACCGACUAUAACAUUUGAAUAAACAAAACU